CAGUGAUAUUAACAUCCAUUGGGCUGCAUGGAAGAGAGACAAGAAGAAUAUAUCCAUCAUGCAUUUGUAGGGAAUCAUUACAAUUUGGGACUUCAGCCUAAACUAAGUCAUAUACAUCUUGGAUGGCAUGAGGAUACCUUUAUUGGAACCGCAUCCUCCUGCGGUGGAUCCCACUUUCCAGGUCCCGUCAAACUGGCAGUAGUUCCAGCGACUCACCUCUUCACUGGUCAAAGUGUCUGGAGUCAGAUUACAAAUCUCCAGCCUUGAGAAAUG